ACCAGUGUGACAUAGUGGUUUGAGCGUUGGACUAUAACUCCAGAGACCAGAGUUCAACUCCCAGUUCAGCCA